rnacentral:rRNA from 1 species
UACGUAGGGGGCAAGCGUUGUCCGGAUUUAUUGGGCGUAAAGAGCGUGUAGGCGGUUUGGUAGGUCCGCUGUGAAAACUCGAGGCUCAACCUCGAGACGCCGGUGGAAACCAUCAGACUAGAGUCCGGAAGAGGAGAGUGGAAUUCCUGGUGUAGCGGUGAAGUGCGCAGAUAUCAGGAAGAACACCCGUGGCUAAGGCGGCUCUCUAGUACGGUACUGACGCUGAGACGCGAAAGCGUGGGGAGCGAACAGG